GAUGAACGCUGGCGGCGUGCCUAAUACAUGCAAGUCGAGCGAACAGACCAGGAGCUUGCUCCUUUGACGUUAGCGGCGGACGGGUGAGUAACACGUGGAUAACCUACCUAUAAGACUGGGAUAACUUCGGGAAACCGGAGCUAAUACCGGAUAACAUUUUGAACCGCAUGGUUCUAAAGUGAAAGAUGGUUUUGCUAUCACUUAUAGAUGGAUCCGCGCCGUAUUAGCUAGUUGGUAAGGUAACGGCUUACCAAGGCAACGAUACAUAGCCGACCUGAGAGGGUGAUCGGCCACACUGGAACUGAGACACGGUCCAGACUCCUACGGGAGGCAGCAGUAGGGAAUCUUCCGCAAUGGGCGAAAGCCUGACGGAGCAACGCCGCGUGAGUGAUGAAGGUCUUCGGCUCGUAAAACUCUGUUAUUAGGGAAGAACAAAUGUGUAAGUAACUGUGCACGUCUUGACGGUACCUAAUCAGAAAGCCACGGCUAACUACGUG
rnacentral:rRNA from 1 species